AACAGAGAAAUUGAAUCACAUUUAUUAUUACUUUUACACUACAGUUCAACAGACAAGAAUCUAAUAUUGAGUAACUUAUUUUAGACACAUUAUUGCAAAUACUUUUCUAUUUUUGCCCCACCAACAAAAAUAUUUCCAUAGCCAUCUCUACACAUUUCUUUCAUUCCUAAAUGAAUCUGUGUUUUUAAACGAAUCGGUUGAAAGAAUGAUUCAUUGACUCAGUCAUUAACUUGAUUCAUUCCUAUGCACUUAUACACUAUGUAGCCUACUUAUGCACUAUGUACUCAUCCAUGUAGUGUAUGAAUUUUAUAUGUUUAUUUUGUCAUUAAACAUCGGAGUCUGAUACCCCCUCCGUAAUGUAGGCUAAUUAAAGCUGCGACAGUUGAGGCAAUGAAGUGUACAAUAUUCCACGCUUCGUUUUUUCUGUUAAUUUAGUGCAUCAUCCGGGUAUUUAAAGUGCACUUUUUCUUUUUGGAAUUUUCAGUGUGAACACACUACUUGCACUAUUUAUACUCAAAUAGAAUAGUGCGCAAAUUGGGACGCACCUAGUGUGUUUGAACGAAUCGAUUGAGUGAAUGAUUCAAUGUCAAAGCUUUUCGAAACUGUGAAUCAAUUGAACCAUUUGCUUUGCAAAACGAUUCACUGUCUAGAAGCGCUUGAAACACCGCGCAACUGUUGGUCAAAACGUGUAAAUGCGACGUGAAAUGAGGUCAAACGUUCAGUUUUUUUGCUUCCGAAUAUUUUUAUAUAUAUAUAUAUAUAUAUAUAUAUAUAUAUAUAUAUAUAUAUAUAUAUAUUGCCAAUGUAAUAUAACAAAAUAUAAACAGUUUGGAUACCAGCGUCGAUACACAAUGACAUAACCAGCCCUUGACGGCUCUGACUUUUUUUUUUUUUUUUUUUUUUUGGCUCUGGACUUAACGAAGCCGCGUUUGUUGAAAUCAUGUGACUUGGACAAUUUAAUUCGCGCUCUGAAACACGUUCUGUGUGCAGCUCGUAAAUACGGACAACAAACGGUGUGACGCAAACAGUAAAAAUCCUAGUGCUGUUGGCGCGGAAUUCGAGGACCGAAACUAACUGUUGUAAACAUUUUUUGCACUGGUUAAACACUGGUUAGGUCUUGCACCAACCACGAGUGUGUGUCUUAGCUCGGCUCCUCGGGGUGUGUUCAGAGACAGCUGUUGGGUGAGUCAAGUCAAGUGCGUGAGGCAAGCAACUGGUUUACACACCCUUUUCACAAGCAAAUCCUCUCCGCUCUCACAGUACACUUCAGAAGGACUAUCAGUUGCUCACCCUCCCUUGCUGUCCGGGAAAAGGUUUAGAUAUUUGGCCACACGUACACCGGAUAUUUGGUUACACACUACAGUCCAGUAGUAUGAACUAGCGUGCCCGUGUGUUUGUAUGCAGUCUGUUCAAGAAGACCUGCUGAUACCAGGCAGACUUUGACUAAUGAGGGUGGUGUGAAUGUGACCAUACCCUGAGUGUAAACUGAGCCUGCUUUGCUCCUCUCAAGAAAGCAUGGAAGUGAAUUUAGACCCUCCUUAUGCUAAGACCAAACAAUUUAUUCGAAGACUUAUCUGAGUCAACGUCAUUCUCAGUGGCGCGAUGGCACUCUGCACGGAUGAAUACAGAAAGGGGGGCUGGCAUUUUACUGUUAUAUAAAUAAUCAAUCCUGGAGAGCUCUUACCUGACAUGGCAUGUGUUGCAGCCUGACUUUCGUGACGUCCAGCGCCCUGGAAUGUGAAGUACUUUAACUGUGACGGAGAGGUGAAGAGGAAAAGGGCCUUCGUUGCUCCGCAGCUGAGCGAGUUCAGGCGCACCUGUCGUAUAACAAGGGGGGCCUUGAAAGACAAUUUAUCUCUCUUCUGACUAGUAGCAAAUGGAGGAGGGUUCAGUUAGUCUUAGUGCUUUUGAACCUCUGGAAUGUCCGAACAUGGGAAGUGGUUUUGGACCUACAUAGUGUGGCUUUAAGACAAACGCCUCAACAAUCUUUUGUUUUCUGGUUAGUUGAGAGUCACAAAUUCCACCCUCAAAUAACACUGAGAACAACAGGGAUUGGGAAAAAAAACCCUGUAGGAUUGUAUUAGUACAAAUCUUUAUAUGUAUGUAACUGUCUUUUUACUGUUGCUUUAUCUUGUGUUUCUUGUCUACCUUUUCCUGUUUGUUCAACCCUGGAUUAUCAAGCAC